rnacentral:rRNA from 1 species
AGAGUUUGAUCCUGGCUCAGGAUGAACGCUAGCGGCAGGCCUAACACAUGCAAGUCGAGGGGCAGCGGGUAAGUAGCUUGCUACUUAUGCCGGCGACCGGCGGACGGGUGCGUAACGCGUAUGUAACCUACCUUUGACAGGGGGAUAACAUCGAGAAAUUGGUACUAAUACCCCAUAACAUCACCGGAGGCAUCUUCGGUGGUUGAAAACUCAGGUGGUCAGAGAUGGACAUGCGUUGUAUUAGCUAGUUGGUGAGGUAACGGCUCACCAAGGCGACGAUACAUAGGGGGACUGAGAGGUCAACCCCCCACAUUGGUACUGAGACACGGACCAAACUCCUACGGGAGGCAGCAGUGAGGAAUAUUGGUCAAUGGUCGGGAGACUGAACCAGCCAAGCCGCGUGAGGGAGGAAGGUACAGAGUAUCGUAAACCUCUUUUGUCAGGGAACAAAGGCGGGGACGUGUCCCCGGAUGAGUGUACCUGAAGAAAAAGCAUCGGCUAACUCCGUGCCAGCAGCCGCGGUAAUACGGAGGAUGCGAGCGUUAUCCGGAUUUAUUGGGUUUAAAGGGUGCGCAGGCGGUCUGUUAAGUCAGCGGUCAAAGCCCGGGGCUCAACCCCGGCCCGCCGUUGAAACUGGCAGUCUCGAGUUGGAGAGAAGUAUGCGGAAUGCGCGGUGUAGCGGUGAAAUGCAUAGAUAUCGCGCAGAACUCCGAUUGCGAAGGCAGCAUGCCGGCUCCACACUGACGCUGAGGCACGAAAGCGUGGGUAUCGAACAGGAUUAGAUACCCUGGUAGUCCACGCAGUAAACGAUGAAUGCUGGCUGUCCGGGGGGAUUGACCCCUGGGUGGCGAAGCGAAAGCGAUAAGCAUUCCACCUGGGGAGUACGCCGGCAACGGUGAAACUCAAAGGAAUUGACGGGGGCCCGCACAAGCGGAGGAACAUGUGGUUUAAUUCGAUGAUACGCGAGGAACCUUACCCGGGCUCAAACGGGGAGUGACUCAGGCAGAGACGCCUGUUUCCCACGGGACACUCCCCGAGGUGCUGCAUGGUUGUCGUCAGCUCGUGCCGUGAGGUGUCGGCUUAAGUGCCAUAACGAGCGCAACCCCCACCGGCAGUUGCUAACCGACGCAAGUCGGAGGACUCUGCCGGGACUGCCGGCGCAAGCUGCGAGGAAGGCGGGGAUGACGUCAAAUCAGCACGGCCCUUACGUCCGGGGCAACACACGUGUUACAAUGGCAGGUACAGCGGGAAGCCACCCGGCGACGGGGCGCGGAACCUGAAAACCUGUCUCAGUUCGGAUCGGAGUCUGCAACCCGACUCCGUGAAGCUGGAUUCGCUAGUAAUCGCGCAUCAGCCAUGGCGCGGUGAAUACGUUCCCGGGCCUUGCACACACCGCCCGUCAAG